rnacentral:rRNA from 1 species
GAGCACGUAGGUGGGUUUGUAAGUCAGAUGUGAAAGCCUCCUGUUCAACGGGAGAAUUGCAUCUGAAACUACUGAUCUUGAGUGUAGGAGGGGAGAAUGGAACUUCUGGUGGAGCGGUGAAAUGCGUAGAUAUCAGAAGGAACGCCGGCGGCAAAAGCGAUUCUCUGGCCUAUUACUGACACUCAGUGUGCGAAAGCUAGGGGAGCAAACGGGAUUAGAUACCCCGGUAGUCCUAGCCGUAAACGAUGGGCACUAAGUAGAGGGGGUUUU